GGGGAGGCGGGGGGCGCCGGGCAGCCCCGCCUUUUCCCCGCGGAGGCGCCGAGCGGCCAUAUUGCGGAGCUGUCUGCGGUGGCGGCGGCGUCUCUCGUCUCCCGCGGCCCAGCGCUCGCACCACCGCUUCUCCCUCCCUGCCGCAACCGCGCCGCCGCGCAGCGCCCCAGCCACACGCCGGCGGGCAGAAGCCGCCCGCUCUCCGGAAAGUGACAACAGAAUUCAUUGAAGAUUUUUAAAGAAGGUAACGAAAAGAGAAAGAAAAUGCCGAAACCAAUCAAUGUAAGAGUAACCACAAUGGAUGCUGAGCUGGAAUUUGCCAUUCAGCCCAAUACAACUGGCAAACAACUUUUUGACCAGGUGGUGAAAACAGUCGGUUUGCGUGAGGUCUGGUUUUUUGGGCUGCAGUAUGUAGACAGCAAAGGUUAUUCUACGUGGCUUAAACUAAAUAAAAAGGUGACACAGCAGGAUGUUAAAAAAGAGAAUCCUUUACAGUUCAAGUUUAGAGCUAAAUUCUUUCCUGAAGAUGUUUCUGAGGAAUUAAUUCAAGAAAUAACCCAGAGACUUUUCUUCUUGCAAGUUAAAGAAGCCAUCUUAAAUGAUGAGAUAUAUUGCCCUCCAGAAACUGCAGUUCUUUUGGCUUCCUAUGCUGUCCAAGCCAAGUAUGGAGAUUAUAAUAAAGAGAUUCAUAAGCCAGGCUACCUGGCUAAUGAUAGACUGCUACCCCAGCGUGUAUUGGAACAACACAAACUAACAAAAGAACAGUGGGAAGAAAGAAUACAGAACUGGCAUGAAGAACAUAGAGGAAUGUUAAGGGAGGAUUCUAUGAUGGAAUACCUGAAGAUUGCACAAGAUCUAGAAAUGUAUGGAGUCAACUAUUUUGAAAUAAAAAAUAAAAAAGGAACUGAAUUGUGGCUAGGUGUUGAUGCUUUGGGUCUGAAUAUUUAUGAGCAUGAUGACAAGUUAACACCUAAAAUUGGUUUUCCCUGGAGUGAAAUCAGAAAUAUUUCAUUUAAUGACAAAAAAUUUGUUAUAAAGCCAAUCGACAAAAAGGCACCUGAUUUUGUUUUUUAUGCACCUCGUCUGAGAAUCAAUAAGCGGAUUUUGGCCUUAUGUAUGGGAAACCAUGAACUGUACAUGCGAAGAAGGAAGCCUGAUACUAUUGAAGUACAACAGAUGAAAGCUCAGGCUAGGGAGGAGAAACAUCAGAAGCAGUUGGAAAGGGCACAAUUAGAGAAUGAAAAGAAGAAAAGAGAAAUAGCAGAAAAGGAAAAGGAAAGAAUAGAACGUGAAAAGGAAGAGCUAAUGGAACGUCUAAAACAAAUUGAAGAGCAAACAAUUAAAGCCCAGAAAGAACUAGAAGAACAGACUCGAAAAGCUCUAGAACUGGAUCAAGAACGAAAACGAGCAAAAGAAGAAGCAGAACGGCUUGAAAAGGAGCGUCGAGCUGCUGAAGAGGCGAAGUCUGCCAUAGCAAAACAAGCUGCUGACCAGAUGAAGAAUCAGGAGCAGCUAGCAGCAGAACUUGCUGAAUUCACUGCCAAGAUUGCACUUCUAGAAGAAGCCAAGAAGAAAAAGGAAGAGGAAGCUACUGAGUGGCAACACAAAGCUUUUGCAGCCCAGGAAGACUUGGAAAAGACCAAAGAAGAGUUAAAAACUGUGAUGUCUGCCCCUGCUCCACCUCCGCCACCACCAGUCAUUCCUCCAACAGAAAACGAACAUGAUGAACACGAUGAGAAUAAUGCUGAAGCUAGUGCUGAAUUAUCAAAUGAAGGGGUAAUGAACCAUAGAAGCGAGGAAGAACGUGUAACCGAAACACAGAAAAAUGAGCGUGUUAAGAAACAACUUCAGGCAUUAAGUUCAGAAUUAGCCCAAGCCAGAGAUGAAACCAAGAAAACACAAAAUGAUGUUCUUCAUGCUGAGAAUGUUAAAGCAGGCCGUGAUAAGUACAAGACUCUGCGACAGAUUCGACAAGGCAAUACAAAGCAGCGUAUCGAUGAGUUUGAAGCAAUGUGGGGACCCAAACUGUAUGCAUUGUUCCAGAUGCGCUCUUGCCAAAGCAGCAUAAAGCAAAUGUAACCCUUAGGAAGAAGGCUCCCUCCCUCACUAGGUUCUUUCCCAAUAGUUUGCAUCUCUUGGGCUCUUUGCCAAUGAAGAACAUCAUCCUCCAAUUUAAUAAUUUUGAGGCCCCUGGCUACUGACAUAUGGGAAGCUUUAGGAUAAGGACAUACCUGGUGUUCUGAAUGUGUAUAUCCCCCAAAGUCUGCAAUCUCAGCUGGAACUGGAUGGACCAGUAUUCCCUUACCCAGGGCCCUGGCUCAUGGUUCUCUCCUCUUCUCAGUUUACUGUUGGAUUUCCCUUUCUUGCUAUUCUCUUUCUCUCCAGACCCCUCUCAAUUGCUUUUCCUAAAGACAGACCUUAGCAAGAUGGGCCAGGACUUGGGACUUCGCACGGCACCCUGCAGUCCCAAGCCAGCAUCUACUGUACCCCAUCUUCAAGACUCUAUCCCCCAAACAGAUGCUGGAAGGCAUCAGCUUCUGAUAACCCACUUUUUUCUGCAUGACUAGCUUGUAAGGAAGAAUCUGUGGAGAGGAUUUCCAAGAAUUUCCCACUUUUUCAAAAAAUGUAUGUGACUUACAUUUGGCUUCAAUCCAAGAGCAAACUCAGUGGUGAACAGCUCCAUUUCUGUGCACAUGUUGGUGGAAUCUGCAGAAAUCGAUGCAACAUUUCUUUCCUGUCUGGGCUGUUUGUAUAAUUGUAUAUAAAUGUAGCAAUAAAUAUAUUCUAACAUCA